GUGCCCGUAGCUCAAUCGGAUAGAGCACCGGCCUUCUAAGCCGGGGGUUGUGGGUUCGAGUCCCGCCGGGCGCGCCA
rnacentral:tRNA from 1 species